rnacentral:rRNA from 1 species
CGCGUAGGCGGCCAGCGCAAGUCAGUUGUGAAAUCUCCGGGCUUAACUCGGAAAGGUCAACUGAUACUGCGCGGCUAGAGUGCGGAAGGGGCAACUGGAAUUCUCGGUGUAGCGGUGAAAUGCGUAGAUAUCGAGAGGAACACCUGCGGCGAAGGCGGGUUGCUGGGCCGACACUGACGCUGAUGUGCGAAAGCCAGGGGAGCGAACG